AGAACACCCACCCCUGCCUUUCUCAUUGGGCUGUGCGUCUUGGCAGGACUUGAAGGGGCUAUAAGGGGAAACGAGCUGGUCUGGGCCAAGAAGGGCAAAAUCUGACACUGGAGAGCUUAAACUGUAUGCUUCAGAUUGUCACAGAUAAGGUUGUUUUGACUUCCAAGCUUCAUGUUGCAGAUGCAUUCUACAGAUGGCAAAACACGGCCCAAAAUAGCUCUUAUCGUGUUAAUCCGUUGCUCAGACUGAGGGCUGGCUCGGACCCGACAGGUCCUGACUAGGGUACCGGUGCCAGGAGAGGGAGCAAUAAGGUGAACGCACAUUUCCCAGAAGUUUAAUCUGUUAAUCUGCGCUUCCAACUCUUAAACACAAGCCAUAUUCCUGCAAGCUCAUGGGUUCAUGGGACAGCGAACAACCUAUCAUCAUCAAGUUCAGCUUAAGGUUGAGUCACUUGCCAAAUCCGAGAGCAGCGUCUGAGUGCACAUGGUGUUCAUUUCAUCGUACCUUCCUGUCCCACUCGGUGAAAAGUCACGGCGUAUCAUCACAUCAAAUCAACUUUAAAUCUACCAGUUUCACAAUUCAGCAAAAAGCAGCGUGUCUCAGCAAGGAUCUCUGGCAUCGAGUCUGCCGGGAACUGCGUGUCUUUUUUAGAAAGGACAAGAUGGACAUACCCUACGCUGACAUACGUUUUCACCCUCCUCCUUCCCCACCGCCUCCAGUUCGGUCCCGCUGGCUGCCCAUUGGAUAGGCUCCGCCCCCGCCGUACCUGUACGGCAGGAUCUGCGAGGUUCCAGACGCUGCGGACCUGGGCUUUCGACGGUGCUUUCACCAAAGACUCUAUAUAUUCACUAUUACUAAUUGUCAUACGUGUUUAUUGGGAUUAAAUCUUUCUUGCUGCACUUUGUCUCUAGAGUUUUCCUGCUAGAACCAAGAACGUUUGUUCGCAGUGGGAACCAAAAAAUACUAGGUUCCUCAGUGCGAACUGUGACGACAUCUGUGGGCGUGUCUGAGAAUGCACAGUGGUCUGCUGAG
rnacentral:lncRNA from 1 species